rnacentral:lncRNA from 1 species
GUAGAAGUGUUUUAGGGGUGGUGAGGGUCAGUUUUAGGUAGAAGUGUUUUAGGGGUGGUGAGGGUCAGUUUUAGGUAGAAGUGUUUUAGGGGUGGUGAGGGUCAGUUUUAGGUAGAAGUGUUUUAGGGGUGGUGAGGGUCAGUUUUAGGUAGAAGUGUUUUUAGGGGUGUGUGUGUGUGUGUGUGUGUGUGUGUGCGUGCUUGUGUCCUACCUCCAGGUCAUCCAGUGAGCGUGCCAGGCUGAUGCGUUUGGAGCGGCCGAAGGAUCGCCUUCCUGAGGAGCGCUGAGGUAGAGGAGGGAAGCCCUUAGUCAGACCUCUAAACCGACCAGCCUAGAGAGAAACACACACAGGUUAACUCUCCACACUUCAAUACACGGUCCUCUGUAGUUCGGCAUGCACACACACACACACACACACACACACAGUGGAGGCACAUGACAGUGUUUUGACUGGAGGAGACAGCAGGGUCACGCGAAGAAGAACUGUGUGGACGUCAUUCUCACAAACACUUCUCCUCUGGACAAUGUAAAAAUAACCCUCCCUGAGACACACACACAC